CGCACCUGAAACGGAGAAAAGGCAGCCUCAUUAGCUUGCUGUUCAGAAGGAGCGAGACAGCAGAGUAAACUGCUCCCAUGCAGGUUAUUAACCGUGCCACUGGGAUAUAGCUCUGGAGUUCUGGGUCUAUAAACACAAAUCCAGAGAGCUCAGGUAGACGAACCCUCCAAUGGUCAGCACCAUCUGGACCACCAAGACGGCUGAAAAGAACCAGACAGGCGGGCUGGUGCGGCCCGACGCCGCAUGGUGCAUGCCCGUCCGGGGUGGGACCGGCGGUGGAGGCAGGCUGGUGUGGUAGGUGUUAAUCAUGGUGGCAAGAGCGAGAGCAAGAGAGCGAAAGAGAUAGUCGAGAUAGCGGGGAGCAGUGGCUUCCUGAGCACGUCGCGCACUUCUGAAGAGCUUCGCUCGCUCACUCACACGAGCAGCAGCGAUUGCAGAGGGAGGGGUAAGUUCUCAGGUGUGUGGGCCCUCCGUUCCUUCUCCAUUUUAGCGUCAGCUUAGGCCGUCACGUGUCCCCAUGCCUGUCUCAGAGACUUUCCGUAGCUCGUCACGGGAUUCCAGACGGCGCCACCUUCUCCAAAUGCAGGGUCUGGGGCGCCUCAGGUUGCUGAUGCUGAAGUCGGGCCCUGGGGGGGGGGGGGGGGUAGAUUGCCAGAGAAAGGGGGCUCCAUCUGAUCAAGCAAAUAAUACAGGAGCCUAGUGAUACAAAAUCCAGAAUCUACAACCCCAAAGACAAAUCCAUGAUCUAGAACCCAGGGUCCAUCUGACAGUCUGUUGAUCCGCUAGUUCACCCUUAUGGAAAAGUGCCAUGGGAUUCCAACUGGACGUCAUUGGAUAUCAAUGGGAGUUCAUGGGUCACUAUGAGAAUCCCAUGUAUACUCAUGGAGCUAUCGUGAGACAUCAUAGGGUGCCCAUAACUACCCAUGAGAUCUGCCAUGAGUACAAUUUCUGUAACACUAAUUUACAAAGAAUUCAAUUGUAUGAUUGUGUGUUGAAUAUUUAAAAGCUCUUUGUUGGUAAAAAAAUUAUAUUAUUGUUUGUACUAGAUGUUCUUUUUCUGAUCCAAUAAUGGCAACAUAAAAUAGAUGCCAUGAAAAUCUUCACAUUCCACAUUCUCUUGAAACUGCAAGAGUGAGAAACAGAAGUUACAGAAUAGUGCUUAUUUAUUCUGUUUAGAUUCUUUAAGAGUGAAUGCUGUUGAUACCAUUAGUUUGCUAUUUCAUUUUAUGAAGUGUCUAUUCACAAACAUAAAGAGAAUAUAUAUAUUUUAUUCAGGUUUUUAAGUUUAAAUGUUGGUCUUUUUUGUUUAAUAAACAUAUAAAGUGCUAUUUGUGCUUGUUAAAGUGAUUGUAAAGAUAAAUCUGUGAAUGGUUGCAGACAAAUUGUUUGGGGUUAUUAUGGUAUGUAUUAAGCAUUGCAAUAUGAACUUAUAUCAGUCUAACUUGUAUCAUUUCCGUCUGUUCCUAUGUGGGGAUUAAAUGUGUGGAGUUAUUGGGCAUGGGCACAGAACUAUUGGGUCCAGGUCCUUCGUGACGUAAAGGCCAAUAAGUGUUUUAGUCUCAUUGCAUAUCUACCAUACUGUAAGCUAAAAUAGUCUGAGCAAAACAGUCUCCCUCCUUCUCCAACCCGCUCUUUGUGUCAUUUUCUUCAUCCCUUUGUGGUGGUGCUAACUAGCUGGCUGGCUAGCUAGGCUACUUGUAUUACCCCUAGAGCUAGCUAUGGAGCUAUAGAUUACAUUUCGCUAUCGUUUUUUCGUUUAGUUUAUUUUUAAAUGAAGCCUCCGUCUGCUUUGCAUGACGAAUUGCAUGACGAAUUUCCCCCGUCUGUUACUUCCCUGGAUGUACAAACUUAGAGCAUGACGUCGAGGAUAACGUUAUGUGUGUUUUUUCCAGCUUCAUUCGGAAGAAAUGGGUGGCUUUAAAUGUUUUUUUUUUUUUUUUUUGAACCUAUGGCUACUCUGGCUCGCCCUGACCAUGCCCAUACAAUCCUGAGGUUUUUCCAAUGCAGUUCUUAUGUUUGAUUUGAAAUUUUGAAAUGUAUGCUAUUAUAGUUAUUAACAUUUAUUUAAAUAAAUAUUUAGUGGAUGAGUAGUGGAUACGACCUUACGCGAUCAUUCAUUCGAAAUAGUCGAAUUGAUGACAGAUGUGUAUUUUAACACUCAUUUAAAUUUGUAAUGUAAUAAACACGCAAAUGCCCUGGACAUAACUGGCGAGCACACGGGAAGAACGAAACACACCUACACAUUCAGCUUCCCCACAGUACACGCCCACCCCCACUGAUGACAGGUAAAAAUUCAUCAGAAUUCUAGCUGUUACCCGUGUUACUUACCGUUACUUACCGUGUCACUACAUUUAUCAGUCAGAAUGCGUUGCGAAACUAAAAUGCAUUUGUGAGACUCUUAAAACUUCGCCGUACAGUACUUUGCACGGGGAAGUCACAGUAGCCUACUCCGCAGCAUUAUGGCCUGCCCCAAGAUAACAAUAUCGUGUCUGUUUUGAGUCAGGGGUGGGUUUCAUUUUGUAAGUGUAAUUUGAGGUGUGGAGGCAGCAAGGAGACUGUAGUUAAGAGUGAGACAAGUGAGACGAGAACAAUUGGCCCACAUCUGGGUGUGAAAAUGAUUCAUUGCACUUCCCGUUGACCUUUAUUAAAAAAAGUAUAUAUGUG